AUUGAACGCUGGCGGCAGGCCUAACACAUGCAAGUCGAACGAGUGGCGGACGGGUGAGUAAUGUCUGGGAAACUGCCCGAUGGAGGGGGAUAACUACUGGAAACGGGUGCUAAUACCGCAUACCAUCGGAUGUGCCCAGAUGGGCUUAGCUAGUAGGUGGGGUAAUGGCUCACCGAGGCGACGAUCCCUAGCUGGUCUGAGAGGAUGAACAGCCACACUGGAACUGAGGCACGGUCCAGAGUCCUACGGGAGGCAGCAGUGAGGAAUAUUGCGCAAUGGGCGCAAGUCUGAUGCAGCCAUGCCGCGUGUAUGAAGAAGGCCUUCAGGUUUUAAAGUACUUUCAGCGGGGAGGCGUUACUCGCAGAAGAAGCACCGGCUAACUCCGUGCCAGCAGCCGCGGUAAUAC
rnacentral:rRNA from 1 species